rnacentral:rRNA from 1 species
CUAAGAGCGAAUGGUGGAUGCCUUGACUGGUAAAGGCGAUGAAGGACGUACUAGACUGCGAUAAGCUACGGGGAGCUGUCAAGAAGCUUUGAUCCGUAGAUUUCCGAAUGGGGCAACCCAAUGUAUAGAGAUAUACAUUACCUAUAUAGGAGCGAACGAGGGGAAUUGAAACAUCUUAGUACCCUCAGGAAAAGAAAUCAAUAGAGAUUGCGUCAGUAGCGGCGAGCGAAAGCGCAAGAGGGCAAACCCAGUGCUUGCACUGGGGGUUGUAGGACUGCAAUGUGCAAGAGGUGAGUUUAGCAGAACAUUCUGGAAAGUAUAGCCAUAGAGGGUGAUAGUCCCGUAUGCGAAAAACAAACCUUAGCUAGCAGUAUCCUGAGUAGGGCGGGACACGAGAAAUCCUGUCUGAAGCUGGGUCGACCACGAUCCAACCCUAAAUACUAAUACCAGAUCGAUAGUGCACAAGUACCGUGAGGGAAAGGUGAAAAGAACUGAGGUGAUCAGAGUGAAAUAGAACCUGAAACCAUUUGCUUACAAUCAUUCAGAGCCCUAUGUAGCAAUACAGGGUGAUGGACUGCCUUUUGCAUAAUGAGCCUGCGAGUUGUGGUGUCUGGCAAGGUUAAGCAAACGCGAAGCCGUAGCGAAAGCGAGUCUGAAUAGGGCGCUUAGUCAGAUGCUGCAGACCCGAAACGAAGUGAUCUAUCCAUGAGCAAGUUGAAGCUAGUGUAAGAACUAGUGGAGGACUGAACCCAUAGGCGUUGAAAAGCCCCGGGAUGACUUGUGGAUAGGGGUGAAAGGCCAAUCAAACUUCGUGAUAGCUGGUUCUCUCCGAAAUAUAUUUAGGUAUAGCGUUGUGUCGUAAUAUAAGGGGGUAGAGCACUGAAUGGGCUAGGGCAUACACCAAUGUACCAAACCCUAUCAAACUCCGAAUACCUUAUAUGUAAUCACAGCAGUCAGGCGGCGAGUGAUAAAAUCCGUCGUCAAGAGGGAAACAACCCAGACUACCAGCUAAGGUCCCUAAAUCUUACUUAAGUGGAAAACGAUGUGAAGUUACUUAAACAACCAGGAGGUUGGCUUAGAAGCAGCCAUCCUUUAAAGAAAGCGUAAUAGCUCACUGGUCUAGUGAUUUUGCGCGGAAAAUAUAACGGGGCUAAAGUAAGUACCGAAGCUGUAGACUUGAUUUUAUCAAGUGGUAGGAGAGCGUUCUAUUUGCGUCGAAGGUAUACCGGUAAGGAGUGCUGGAGCGAAUAGAAGUGAGCAUGCAGGCAUGAGUAGCGAUAAUUAAUGUGAGAAUCAUUAACGCCGUAAACCCAAGGUUUCCUACGCGAUGCUCGUCAUCGUAGGGUUAGUCGGGUCCUAAGUCGAGUCCGAAAGGGGUAGACGAUGGCAAAUUGGUUAAUAUUCCAAUACCAACAUUAGUGUGCGAUGGAAGGACGCUUAGGGCUAAGGGGGCUAGCGGAUGGAAGUGCUAGUCUAAGGUCGUAGGAGGUUAUACAGGCAAAUCCGUAUAACAAUACUCCGAGAACUGAAAGGCUUUUUGAAGUCUUCGGAUGGAUAGAAGAACCCCUGAUGCCAUCGAGCCAAGAAAAGUUUCUAAGUUUAGCUAAUGUUGCCCGUACCGUAAACCGACACAGGUGGGUGGGAUGAGUAUUCUAAGGCGCGUGGAAGAACUCUCUUUAAGGAACUCUGCAAAAUAGCACCGUAUCUUCGGUAUAAGGUGUGGUUCGCUUCGUAUUAGGAUUUACUCCGAAAGCGAAGAAACUUACAACAAAGAGUCCCUCCCGACUGUUUACCAAAAACACAGCACUCUGCUAACUCGUAAGAGGAUGUAUAGGGUGUGACGCCUGCCCGGUGCUCGAAGGUUAAUUGAUGGGGUUAGCAUUAGCGAAGCUCUUGAUCGAAGCCCGAGUAAACGGCGGCCGUAACUAUAACGGUCCUAAGGUAGCGAAAUUCCUUGUCGGUUAAAUACCGACCUGCAUGAAUGGCGUAACGAGAUGGGAGCUGUCUCAAAGAGGGAUCCAGUGAAAUUGUAGUGGAGGUGAAAAUUCCUCCUACCCGCGGCAAGACGGAGAGACCCCGUGGACCUUUACUACAGCUUGACACUGCUAUUUGGAUAAGAAUGUGCAGGAUAGGUGGGAGGCUUUGAGUAUAUGACGCCAGUUGUAUAUGAGCCAUUGUUGAGAUACCACUCUUUCUUAUUUGGGUAGCUAACCAGCUUGAGUUAUCCUCAAGUGGGACAAUGUCUGGUGGGUAGUUUGACUGGGGCGGUCGCCUCCCAAAUAAUAACGGAGGCUUACAAAGGUUGGCUCAGAACGGUUGGAAAUCGUUCGUAGAGUAUAAAGGUAUAAGCCAGCUUAACUGCAAGACAUACAAGUCAAGCAGAGACGAAAGUCGGUCUUAGUGAUCCGGUGGUUCUGUGUGGAAGGGCCAUCGCUCAAAGGAUAAAAGGUACCCCGGGGAUAACAGGCUGAUCUCCCCCAAGAGCUCACAUCGACGGGGAGGUUUGGCACCUCGAUGUCGGCUCAUCGCAUCCUGGGGCUGGAGCAGGUCCCAAGGGUAUGGCUGUUCGCCAUUUAAAGCGGUACGCGAGCUGGGUUCAGAACGUCGUGAGACAGUUCGGUCCCUAUCUGCCGUGGGCGUAAGAAGAUUGAAGAGAUUUGACCCUAGUACGAGAGGACCGGGUUGAACAAACCACUGGUGUAGCUGUUGUUCUGCCAAGAGCAUCGCAGCGUAGCUAAGUUUGGAAAGGAUAAACGCUGAAAGCAUCUAAGCGUGAAGCCAACUCUAAGAUGAAUCUUCUCUAAGCUCUCUAGAAGACUACUAGUUUGAUAGGCUGGGUGUGUAAUGGAUGAAAGUCCUUUAGCUGACCAGUACUAAUAGAGCGUUUGGCUUAUCU